GUGACUGGCUGGCACGUGAGUAUCCCGGCCUUCCUGGCACCCUUAAGCCUCGCAUCCAUCCGGCUUCCUGGGCGGGAGAAAGUGACAGAAGAAGCCUGUAAAUGGUCAACAAGAAGGGGGCUUGUUGUCCCAGGCUGUCCCUCGUUCCACGCACUGUGGUCACGAAGGUGGGACAGGCCAGGAGGGGCCCAGCCAGCCGCGGGGUGGGGGCCAGCGCCAGACCAGGCUGGCCCUGCCUCCACCUGCUGCCGCGACACCUGAUGGUGGCAGGAAUCACGAUUCCUGAUAACAGUGAUCACGAGAGCCGCCGUGCAGUCCUGGGCUCGCAGCCCUGCCUGGUCCAGGACCGAGGGGACAGUAACCCCAGGGCGAGGGGACAGCCCUGGUCGCAUCUCACGCUGAGAAGUUGAGUCUGGGGGCCGUGAGGUGGCCCCAGGAGUGCAUCUGAAACCAGCCCGGCUCCUUGCACUCGGUCCUGCAUCCUCAGCUCGCGGCGUGGACGAUGCUCUGGGAGGGAGGGGGUGGCUGUGAGCGCGUCAGGAGAGGAUGGCCCUGAACACAGACACAGGCUGCCUCCAUCCCUCCCGGAGAGGUGGGGUCGCCCCCCCCCCACUGUGUUCACCACCCCCCACCCCCAGACCUCCUGGGUCCCCUCAGCAUGAGGGCAUCCGUCCCACCUGGGCUCCCAGCUGUGCCUCCUGGACCAGUCGCUUUCCUGCUUGUCCUGUAGCUGCUCUGCUGGUGUCUCACCCACCGUUAAGUGUCUUCUGCUUGUUCUGUGCUGGCCCCCCGGGGUCCCCUGAAGCCCAAGCAGUCGGGGUGGGGGGGGGAGUGUUUGCUGCUGCUCCCGCUGUCUGGACACAGUUAGCCCUGCGGUUAGUAGCUGGGCCCUGCUCCCCCCAACCCCGGAGAGCUGUGUGGUCUGGGGAGGCUGGGGUUUGCAUUUUAAGUUGAGGAGUAACAGUGCACCUUAGCUCACCUGUCCUUGUGGGAUUCAAUGGCACCUAUGCUGGACCCAUGGUGACACUCGUGCCAUCACUGACAGUUGUCACUGUCGGUGUGCCUGGGCCUAGAUGCUUCCCAAAGGGUUCCCUGAGUACCCUCAGGGGAGGCUGGCCUUGCUGCCCCAUCCCUGGGGAGCCUGGGGACCCCGCUGCUGCUGUGAGUGUGGCUGAGGUGAGGCCAGAGCCCUGAGCACAGGAAGGAUCUGGAGCCCCGCUGCCUUGAGCAGGUGCAGGCACUGCCAGGCACUGCCAGGCACAGGUGGCUGGGUGCAGGCACUGCCACCAGGACACUUAGAUUGGGCAACAAGAGACUGACCCUUUUUGCUUGCUGGGGUGGCUGACACGCUGGGCUCUGACUUCCCUGGGGGGACAGAGCUCCCCAUCUUCAGCGUUCGCCCUGGCGAGGACAUAGUGACAGGGGCCUUCUCCUCUGGCCGGUCCCUCCGGGCACCUGGUCCUUCCCAGCCCCUCCCAGUCUGGGUGGCAGCCAGCAAUGCCAUCACAGGCCCUGCCGGGAAGGCUGGGGGGCCGGCCUCUUGCACCGACAGGUCUGGGGGGGCCUCAGGGAAUCACGAGGGGUGACAGGCAGAGCCUGUGAGCCCAGGGCUCCCAGGCCAGGGAGUCUCCCUGGCUUCUCUGCCUUAUUCCCACCCUUGUGGCUGUGGCUGGACUGUCCACCUCCUCUUCCUGGACUGGGAGACCCACGGGGACGGGCCGGCCUUGCCUGCCGCCGCGUCUGCCAAUCAACUUGGGGAUGAGAGGGUAGGGCCUUGCCUGUCCUGCGGAGCUGGCCUGUGGCCACUGCCUCUUGCCCUGGGGCCCCACGGGAGCCAGGGACCCGGUCACCACAAAUAUGGCCAAGAAGCCAACUGUGCAGCUGGACUACGAUGGAGAGUCGGUGCUGAUUCAGUCACCUGCCGCCUCCAUCCUGCAUCCCAGCCCGACCCUCCAUCCUCCAUGGUGGGCACGGGGCCUCGAACCCCUCAGCAGGGAGCUUCUUCCCACUUUCCAACUGAAACACUGUUGGACUCUGAGGCCCAGAGCCGCUCGAGGACAAAUCUCUCAUCUGUCUUUUGUCCAAGGUCGUCCCUGGAAGGGACACGGCCUCAGAUGGUCCCUGCUGGCCAGAGUCUAGGGGACCCAUAAGGGCCUCUCCUGUGUCCCCGAGACGGGUACAGAGAUGACACCUGCUGGCUCUCAGCAGUGAGAGACCCGAGCGGGAAAUGGACUGUCGAGGUGGGACGCUUGGCGGGAAAUUGACCAUCGAGGCGGGACACUUGGCGGGAAAUUGACCAUCGAGGCGGGACGCUUGGCGUUGGCUUGGGUGACCAAGGUCAUGGCCCUCCGAUCUCCAUGGCCCCCGCGGUCGACUUUCUCUGCUAGGACAAGCUGUGCCCCACUGUCUCCAAAACCAGUCCUCCGACCAGGGGCUCCAGGCUUCAGAGCAGCCCUGGGCACCGCGUGGGUCACCUCCGCUUGGACGGUCGAGGCCAGUGUGACCGCGGAGGUGCUUCUGCCCCUGGGAGCAGGCCUCCUCCUGUGAUGUGGCCUGGCCACUCUUAUGCCCGGGGCUGUUCUUCUUCUCCUGUGGGGUUGUGGUUCUGCCCAGGGUCCCAUGUCUGACGUCACCCUGAAGGCUGCACCUUUUCCCUUUACCCGACUGCCCAUCUCUCCUGGUUCUCACUAGAAGGACUAGAAAAAUCCCUUCUUGGCACCUGGGAGGGAGAGUGACACAAACUGUCCCCGUCGUUGGUCUCAGCCCUGCCCCUUUCUGCCCACACCAGGCCAGGUCCCUGGGCUGACCUUGAGCUCCAGCCCUGUCCCCAAGCAGGCUCCAUCUCCCACUGCAUGUGGCCCUCCUCCCUGCGCCCAGCCCCCACCAGCUGCCUCCAGUGUCCCUGCUCCAGAGCUUCACUGUCUCUUGUUGAGGUAGGGGCCCUAGGGGACAGGCAGCUUGUCCGGAGGCUGCAGGUCCAGCCCUAGGGGGGCAGGUCAGCCCCCACCUAGCCUGGGCCCUCGGCCCGAUGACACAGAUUAAAUUCCGUGGGGGCAGGGAUCCGGCCUCCCUGGGCCCAGCAGGCAAAUGGUGGGCUGGGCUCUGACCAGCCUGUGCCCUUAACUGGCGUUCAGUGGAUUGGAAACUCAGGGCUUACGGCUGUAAAAUACACAGCCUCAGCCAUGGAGCUGAUGUGUAAUCCUGGUAUGUUGGGUAGAUUUCAAGACCCUGAGCCAUAAAAACCUGCUCCUGGAGUUCCCGGGUGGCCCAGUGGGCUAAGGAGCUGAUGUCCCGGCAGUGAUUCAGGUGGCUGCUGUGGCGCAGGUUCUGUCCCUGGCCCGGGAACUCCCGCAUGCCAUGCGUGUGGCCAAAACACAGAACAAAACAGAAACAGACAAAAAAAGAAACCACAUACACAAAAAACUGCUACAAAGGCCACGAGAGAUAAGUGUGUACGUGUGUGUGUGUGUGUGUGUGUGUAUUUACUCUCUCUUCCUAGACUUUUCCAGCGCAGGGGGCAUCUGACAUUCUGGCUUAACCUCAGAGAAGCUGUUGCCGCUCACCUGAGCACUAACCGUCCACUUUUUUCCCUCUUUUCCAGAACUUGUCCUCAAGAGUCGCCAGUGCUCCGGACCUGGUAAGAGGGGCUUCCAGGCCCUGCCCCCACGCCCCCCACCACGUCCCACUUAGAUUCGCGUUCUGACAGCUUCACGCUUUUCCUGACUUCAACGUACCCCUUCUUCAGGCCCUGUGGGCGACAUCUGCCUGUUUGAAGUUAGGCCUCCUCAGACCAUAAUUUUAGGCCAUAAAUGAAACGCCUCAAACUGCAGCAUUGCCGCGAAAUAUUCUGCUAUUGUGAUCAGUUCAUGUGCUGGCCCACUUGGGCGUGAUUUAUUUUGGAAACAAAGGCAAAUUAGUCACCUCACAACAUGGAAAGCCAGGCGUGAGAGUCUUAUGUUUUCAGCUAUUUCAUUGUGAUAAAAACCUGGGCGUGUGUGUGGUUUUUUUGUUGUUAUUGGAUGAAUAUAAGCUUCAGGCUUAACACAUUUCAGUAGACACAUCUGUGGAGAUACAGAAGUAUCACAUAUUUAAUUUAUAUCCUGCUGCAAAUGAAAUUGUAUUACCCACCGCUUAAUGGUUAAAAGGUCAAAAUGUCUUUUCUGAGGGAUGGAUAGAAGUGUGAAAGAGGAGUUCCCGUUGUGGCUCCGUGGGUUAAGAACCUGAUGCAGUGUCGGCGAGGAUGCGGGUUUGAUCCCUGGCCUCGCUCACUGAGUUAAGGAUCCGGCACUGCCGUGGCUAUAGCACAGGCCUCCGCUGUAGCUCCAAUUCAGUCUCUGGCCCAGGAACUUCAUAUGCCGCAGGUGCAGCU
rnacentral:lncRNA from 1 species